rnacentral:tRNA from 2 species
GGGCGAGUGGCGUAAUUGGUAGCCGCGCUGGAUUUAGGUUCCAGUCCCGCAAGGGGUAAGGGUUCGAGUCCCUUCUUGCCCA